GACGAAGGGUGCAAGCGUUACUCGGAAUUACUGGGCGUAAAGCGUGCGUAGGUGGUUCGUUAAGUCUGAUGUGAAAGCCCUGGGCUCAACCUGGGAAUGGCAUUGGAAACUGGCGAUCUAGAGUGCGGUAGAGGGUAGUGGAAUUCCCGGUGUAGCAGUGAAAUGCGUAGAGAUCGGGAGGAACAUCUGUGGCGAAGGCGACUGCCUGGACCAGCACUGACACUGAGGCACGAAAGCGUGGGGAGCAAACAGG
rnacentral:rRNA from 1 species